UGCAGCUCCUUUCCCGGGACCGGGACCGGGACUGCGAUCAGGAUCAGGGUCAGACACUGACAGGAGACCGAGAAGCUGCUGAGAAACAUUUGGUAAAACUCCACGUUGGAGGGAGAGCGGAUCGUGUCUCAGAUACAGCCCAGAGCCGAUACUGCAAUGUCCCCCUGGAUUCUCUCCCUCUCUCUCUCUCUGUCCUGGUCUUUAAAACUGGCGCCACUUCCGGGGGGGGAGGAGCUUGUUACAGACUGACCCACAUUGUACUGUGAGAUGGGAGGGAUCAAUCCCCUGGGUCUCACCUCCUCUCAACUCCCCGGCUCUGGACCCGCAGUUUUCCGGGAGUCCCCACCCGGAUCAGUGUCCAACCCCAAUCCCCAUCAGGGGAUUUGCAGCUUUGACCUGGCUUUUCCCGAGAGAGGCAGCACCCAGACCCCUCUGGGGGCGCCUGUGAGGGGUGGAGGUGACACGCCUGUCCCAGUUUCUGGGUUCCUUGGGGAGCAGGUUGUACUGCCCUGUACCUACAAAGGGAAUGGCUCAGUCUCUGAUUUAUGGGUAAUCUGGAGGACACCCAAAUAUGAAUUUUUACACAAGUUUGUCAAUGGGAGUGAUGACUUGUCAAGACAAGACCCACAGUUCAGAAACAGAACAAACCUGUUCAAAGAUCAACUGGAACAAGGCAACUGGUCAGUUCUAUUGCUGACCUCAAGGAGACAGACCAUGAUGUGUAUCAGCGUGAGAUUUACAGUAAGAGGAGAAAACAACUUCAUUGGGAGAAAGUUGUUCAAGUCAAUCUCUCUGUGACAGAGCGAGCUCCUACACCUGGACCGAACACACCUGUACCAGGUCCUGGACUCUCCACUGGAGCAAGAGUUGGAUUGGGAAUUGGGAGUGCUGCUGGGAUUGUUGCUGGAAUUGUGGGUUACAUUGUCCUCAAGUGACAAAGAUGCAAACAAAAUCUACACAACAUGGCAGCAUCGAAUGGUGACCCUUUGAGAGAGGUGACCUGUUCAGGUGAAGCACGGUGCCUUGUGCCAACAGCACCUGAGCAUCAGGAUGGAGCGGCUGGAGAACAAAACCUUCUGGGGAACGGGGCUGUCCAGCACUGACUGAGUUUCCACUGCACUGA